GCCUCGGUAGCGCAGUAGGCAGCGCACGUCAGUCUCAUAAUCUGAAGGUCGUGAGUUCGAUCCUCACCCAGGGGCA